UACGUAGGGUGCAAGCGUUGUCCGGAAUUAUUGGGCGUAAAGAGCUCGUAGGCGGUUUGUCGCGUCUGCUGUGAAAACGCGAGGCUCAACCUCGCGCCUGCAGUGGGUACGGGCAGACUAGAGUGCGGUAGGGGAGAUUGGAAUUCCUGGUGUAGCGGUGGAAUGCGCAGAUAUCAGGAGGAACACCGAUGGCGAAGGCAGAUCUCUGGGCCGUAAACUGACGCUGAGGAGCGAAAGCGUGGGGAGCGAACAGG
rnacentral:rRNA from 1 species